GAUGAACGCUGGCGGCGUGCCUAACACAUGCAAGUCGAGCGAACGGACCAGAAGUUUGCGUGCAUGAUGUUAGCGGCGGUCGGGAGCUUCACAUGUGUAUAACCUACCUAUCAGACUGGGAUAAUUUCGGGAAAUCGGGUCUUAUACCGGAUAAUAUUUUGCACCUCGUGGGUCACAAGUGAGAUUCGGUCUUUCUGUCACUAAUAGAUGGAUACGCGCUGCAUUAGCUGGUUGUUAAGGUAACGGCUUACCAAGGCAACGAUGCAUAGCCGACCUAAGAGGGUGGUCGGCCACAUUGGAACUGAGGCACGGUCCCCACUCCUAGGGUAGGCAGCAGUAGAGAAUCUUACGCAAUGGAGGAAAGCCUGACAGAGGAACGCCGCGUGAGUGAUGAUGGUCUUCUGAUCGUAAAGCUCUGUUGUUAGUGGAGAACAUAUGUGUAAUUAACUGUGCAGAUAUUGACGGUACCGGGUCAAUAAGCUCCGGCUAACUACGUG
rnacentral:rRNA from 1 species